rnacentral:rRNA from 1 species
GACGUAGGGGACGAGCGUUGUCCGGAUUCAUUGGGCGUAAAGCGUGCGCAGGCGGUUUUGUAAGUCUGUCGUGAAAUCCCCGGGCUCAACCUGGGAAUGGCGAUGGAGACUGCAAGGCUAGAAUCUGGCAGAGGGGGGUAGAAUUCCACGUGUAGCAGUGAAAUGCGUAGAGAUGUGGAGGAACACCGAUGGCGAAGGCAGCCCCCUGGGUCAAGAUUGACGCUCAUGCACGAAAGCGUGGGGGAGCAAACAGG